UACGUAGGGGGCAAGCGUUGUCCGGAAUUAUUGGGCGUAAAGCGCGCGCAGGCGGUCUCUUAAGUCUGAUGUGAAAUCUCGCGGCUCAACCGCGAGCGGCCAUUGGAAACUGGGGGACUUGAGUGUAGGAGAGGAAAGUGGAAUUCCACGUGUAGCGGUGAAAUGCGUAGAUAUGUGGAGGAACACCAGUGGCGAAGGCGACUUUCUGGCCUACAACUGACGCUGAGGCGCGAAAGCGUGGGGAGCAAACAGG
rnacentral:rRNA from 1 species